rnacentral:lncRNA from 1 species
GACGAAGGCUUGGGCUCCCCGCGCGGUGACCGUCGAGGUGACCUGCACCUGGCUCCAUGGCGGAACCGGCCGGCACGGAUUAUUCCCCUCUCGGGAGAGGUCUGCAGCCGGGCCUCAGUGCUUCAGUUCGUGGCCUGGCAUUUUGUGAAGAGUGUCUUCAUCUCUGCAUCCCUAGUGCAACAGAGCAUGACAAAAAUUCAACAAAUAUUUAUUGAAGAGUCUUGAUGUCUUUUGGGAAAGGAACUCUAUGGUUACCUUUACUCUAAGAUUAGAUGGGUGUUACUGAUUCUUACCUCAGAGAAGAGAAUGUCAUGGAGACAAAAUGACCUGCUUAGAGUUCUGCACCCCCCAGCAUGGAGAGCAGAGCGCAAAGAUUUCUUCCGGACUCCCACAUUCCCCUUGGAAUCCAAGAACUGGUCUACUGUCACAACACUUUAGUACCCUCUUGUAAGCCUGUGGACAAAUCCUCUGAUGCCUUGAUACCUCGGUUUUCCCCCACUAUAAAUGGGAAGAUAAAUUCACUAGAAACAGUA